rnacentral:lncRNA from 1 species
UAGCAAUGGUAAGUUCUUUUCAUUCUGUUGAAUGAAGAUUCUGAGGUCACAAAUGGGGCAAGCUCUAGUUUCAUUAUACAGUCUUGGCCAAGGAAUAUAGUAUUCUAGGACAGAUGAGUGCUGCAGCACAUGAGAGCAAGCCCAUCACUCGCAAAGGAUAAUGUAAACUGGGAAAGCAUUGGGGACAUGAGAAUGGAAAAUAAGUGGUAGCCAGAAGGGUUGUUCUAAAGGCUAGAGGAAAAAUACAGGAUGAGAAUGAAGCAAAACAAUGCAGUAGUGGAUGUAUUUAAAGAUGUGACUGUGAAAAUUUUUAUAUGGUUGCUAUA